CACGGCAACGCCAGAUCCUUAACCCACUGAGCAAGGCCAGGGAUCAAACCCACAACCUCAUGGUUCCUAGUCGGAUUCCUUGACCACUGAGCCACAAGGGGAACUCCCUGAUUGAUUAUAUUUUGAUACAAAGUGUCUUCUAUGUAAUCUAUGGGGUGACAGUAUGUCCUUGAAACACACAUAAAAAGACAUAUUUGUUUUGUUUUGCUUUUAGUGGAAGGUUCCAAAAGAGUUGACAGUAUAACCGGGCUGCUUAAACAUUGGAAGGAGAAGAGUGUUGAGGCCAAGGGAGAUGGUGGUUUCCUUGGUGCUGUCCUGCUGGAUUGGACACAGAAGGCCUUGUCUAGUGUGGUGGGGAGGAGAGGAUAGGGGUGGGGGAUGGAGGAGUGGGGGGGAGGGCCCUGUGGGAGCCUGGGAAUUAUGAUCUUCAAGUACGUGAAGUACUGCACCGGAAAGAGACUUAUUCUGGGGCUAGAACGAGGCCUACUGUAGAAACAGAACGGGCUGCUUCGGAAGGCCUCAUAUUUUCCAUUCCCAGAGUCUGUAAAGCUGAAGCCACAGGUGAGAGAUGUGGCUGAGGGCUUGUAUGAGUUUCCUGUGGCCUCUGUAACAAAUUACCGCAAACUGGAUGGCUUAAAAUAAUAGAAAUUUAGUUUCUCACCGUUUUGGAGGCCAGAAAUCUGAAAUCAAGUCAUCAGAAGGGCCAAGCUUUUCCCAGAGGCCCUGGAGGACAAUUCUGUGCUUGCUUCUCCUAGUUUCUGGGCUGGAGGCUGCAUCACUCCCACCUCUGCCUCCGGGGUCAUGUGGCUUCCUUCUCUCCUCUGUGUGUCCCUUCUAAGGACAUGUGUCCCUGGAUUUAGGGCUCACCUGGAUAAUGAUUUGGGAUGAUUUUCUUUUUCUACCAGUUUUACUGAGAAACGCUGACAUCCAUCACUCUCAGUUUAAGGUGUACAGCCUGAUGGUUGAAUGUACAUGUCGUGUGAAAUGAUUGCACUAAGGCUCAGUGAACAUCCAUCACCUCAUGUUGAUACAAUACGAAGAACAGAAAGAAGAAAAGAAAGAAAAGGUUCUUUUAUGAUGUCAACUCUCAGGAUGUAUCCUUUUAACCUCUUUCCCAUCCAUCACACAGCCGUGUUCCCAGAGUCAUCCCAUUGUACAUUCUGUUCCUACCACUUACUCCUCUGACAACUUCAAGUUUGUACCUUUUGACCGUCUUCUUUCAGUCCCUUCCUCCCCCAUCCUCUACAUCUGGUAACCACAAGUCUGGUCUCUUUUUCUGUGAGUUUGGUGGGUUUUAACAUUCUUUUGUUUUUAGAUGCCACUUAUAAGUGAUAUCAUGUAAUAUUUGUCUCUGUCUGACUUACUAGCACCAAUGCCUUUAUGGUCCAUCCAUGUUGUUGCAUAUGGUGGGAUUUUCUCAUUUUUAAUGGCUGAAUAAUGUUCCCAUGUGUAUAUAUACCACAACUUCUUUAUACAUUCAUAAUCAGUGGACACUUGGUUUGUUUCUGUGUCUUGGCUAUUGUAAAUAAUGCUGUUAUGAAUAUGGGGUUGCAGAUAGUUUUCUGAGUUAGUGUUUUGCAUAUCCUUUAGAUAUCCUCUCAGAAAUGGAGUUGCUGGGUCAUAGGGUAGUUCUAAUUUUAAUUUUUUGAGGUCUUCCAUACUGUUUUUCAUAGAGGACACACCAAUUUACAAUCCCACCAACAGGGCACAAGGGUCUCCUUUUCUUCACAUCCACACCAGCAUUUGUGAUCUCUUGUAUUUUUAAUGAUGACCAUUCUAACAGGGGUGAGGUGCUCUCUCAUGGUUUUAGUUUUCAUUUUAUAGGAUAAUCUUAUGUCAAUAUCUUCAACUUAAUUAUAUCUGCAAAGACCUUUUUAACAAAUAAGAUCACAUUCAUCUGUUCCUGGGGUUAGGAUUGGGCAUAUCUUUUGGGGGGCCACCAUUCAACCCACAACAGUCUUCAUGAGUAUGCAUUGCCACCCUUGAUCUUCUGAUUCUGUCAUUAUGCCCAUAGAUUUUAUUUACUGCCUAGACUAUAGGUUCCUUGAUACAGGAGAGGUCUUGUAAAUGCUUUUGAACUGGUCUGUUGACAUUUCAUUUUAACUUUAAGUGACAGAACAAACAAAAUUCUUAGAAUCUGCCAUUCCUUAUUUCUGAAAUGAAGAGACGAGUGAAAGAAGCUCACAAAAACCAGUUUGAUCUCUACCUUGGCUAGAAGUUUUCUGUGCUUUGCUUUGUCCAGUGGCUUUGGAGAAAAUGAAUAGAUGAAGGGCACCUGCUGGCCCUAUUCUGGUGCUCACGUGGGGUUGCUAGAUGCUUUUAUUUCUUAUUUCUUAUUUUUUUGCUUUCUAGGGUCAUACCCGCAGCAUAUGAGGUUCCCAGGCUAAGGGUCGAAUCAGAGCUGUAGCUGCUAGCCUAUGCCAUAGCCACAGCAAUGCCAGGUCUGAGCCAUGUCUGUAACCUACACCAUAGCUCACGGCAAUGCCGGAUCCUUAACCCACUGAGCAGGGCCAGGAGGUGAACCCGCAUCCUCAUUCAUUUCUGCUGAACCACAAUGGGAACUCUGCUAGAUGCUUUUGAAACUGAAAAUGAAGCAGAAGCAAUAAAGGCUCAAGUUUCUUGUCUUUCAGAAAACCCUGGCUUAGAAAUAUGGUUUGUAAAUGUCUUCAGCCCCUCAACUAGCCUUUUAUGCAUGUAUUUUCAAUACUGAAUCCCAAAGUGGGGCCUGUGCACAUAAGCGGGACCUAGGCACAUAUGACAAGGUCAAGGGUAGCUUUGGCAAUUACCUGGCUAAUUCGAUGGCUAUAACUCAUCAGGUGGAAUAUAUCAAGAGAGUCCAUCCCAGGGUGUAAAUUAUGCUAUUUGUUUGUCUGUAUUGAUCACAUUAACUGGUAAGAGCCAAAAUCCAUUUCCUUUGUGCUUUGGAGAGGCAGUUGUCAUUAAGGCCAUUUCUCUCCAGGGGGCAGCUAAUUUUGGUUUCUCCGUCACUUUGCAGUGUGACUUCAU
rnacentral:lncRNA from 1 species